GGGGAUGUAGCUCAGUGGUAGAGCGCUCGCUUCGCGUGUGAGAGGCCCCGGGUUCAAACCCCGGCAUCUCCA
rfam:Stegodyphus mimosarum contig122034, whole genome shotgun sequence.